AGGACUACGGAAGAUGAUAUAAUUGUAUAUCAAUCUAUGUUAUAAUUGUUUGGUUGUCAAUGGAUCUAACUAAUUUUAGAAGCAUUGAUUUAGUUGGAUGAUGAACUGACGCUAACCAAAUCAGAAUUACUUGCUAGCAAAAGAUCAGUGUAAAGAGAUCUCCGGUAUGAUUAUCCAAGCAUCAUAGCUUUGUGUUUUGGUUUUGGAUUUUGGAGGCAAAAGGGGUUGUGCGUGUGUAUUGAAGAUUGAUAUCAUCUGUAAACCUAAAAGAUUAAGAUGAUACUAUCUGAAGAGUUGUUGCUGGUGCAGUUGUCAAUCAAUGAACGGUAUCCAAAUUUUCAACAAAGUUAAGGAACAGGUAAAGAAGACAAAGAAUGUUCUUACUAAACAUAGACUGAUAGACACGGUCAUGGUCACGAGCAUGAUCUGGAGAACAACACAUCCCCGACGACCACGAUCCAGACGAGGAAGAUGCUGAAGAUUACGACGUUGGCCAAAUUGACCAGCAAGCCACGGUGGUGCAACAGCUCAUCACAUUCAGAAUCCGAUGAAGGAGAUUAGGCGGAGAUAGUUCCUCCAGUCUCAAAGGCUUUUCCUGACAUGGCAACUUCCCACACUAAAGUUUCUGAGCCAUUAAAGCAGUGGAACCAGUACGAGGCCGCAAUACCUCUCACGGACACGAAGCUCUGCCUCAUCCUGCAAGACCCUUAGGUGUGUCGGAACAAUAAGAAAAAGAGGUGUUCUACGAUGACCACGUAUAACACUCCUGUGUCUUUACUCUCUCUGACAGAAGAUGUCACUAGAACGUUUGUUCCUGGUGAACAACUUAGAGUCAACAUCAAGAGAGACAGAGGAAUGUAGAAAGGGACGUUUGCUCAGGUCUUUAUGGGAUGUCAAAUUAUCAGUCCAAAAUCACUUUUCGCAUCAGAAAGACUGGUGCAGAAGUUGCAGCAGCACAGCUCUUGCGAAGAGGAAAGGAACAUGUGAUGAUGUUCAACUAGGCUCCUGGAAGAGAGAGAAGGAAAACAAUAACAGAGGAACGAAGUGAGUUCUUUUUUUAUAGAUUUCUUCAUGAUCAAUUGUGGGUUUCAAACAAGAAGUCAGUGCCAAUACAACAAUAAUUAAAAGAUUGGGUUGCUUCUUUUGGUUUAGUCUUUGAAGAUAAAGCCGAAUUUCAGAAAACAUUUGUAUGCAGUUUUGUUGAUUUUUAAGUUAUUUUGGUUAAAUUAUGGUUUGGUUAUUCGAAGUAAUUUAUUUGAUAUGCUGUGGUAUGA